UUUCCAUCUUCAUUCAUUAGUCAAUUUUUUUAACUUCCUACAUUUCAUUUUUUUGCAAUGAUAACUUUUAUCAGUAAGCAGAUAUGUAUAUAUUUUUGUCAACUCUGGUUAAAAUUUGUUACGCCUUAUCAAGAAUGAUUCUACCAAUAUAAUCAUUUAUUUAGAAGCAUGGAAGUAUAUGUCUUUGCAUAGAAACGAUGAAUUGCUUAGGACUUAAUUGGCGUAUAUUCGAUUUCAAGAUCUAAAAGAUAUGAAAACGCUAGGAAAUACAUCCAUAAAUUAAAUAAUGCGAUAAAUUUUAUAUUUGUUAUCAGAUGAAAUUUGUUAAUUUUUAUAUUUGUAUCAAUUAAAUAUAGAUU